CAUUCACAUAUACAAAUUAGAACCAUUUUGUACAGGAUGAUAAACAAAAUCAAUCAACAUUACUUCUCAUUUCAUUUGAAUGCUCACACCAGAUUACAUUAUAAGCACUUGUUCUUUUUUUUUGUUUCCUAGUUGGCUCUACAGAACAGUCAGUAAGAUUAAUAUUAUCUGUAGUUUUCAAAGUUCCUAAACAGUAAUCUGACUAUGUUAGGUGUUGAGUUAAAACUAAUAUUAAACAAUAAUAAAACUAUUAUUGUAUAUACAGUGGAACCUAACUUGAUAGAAACUUGCUUGACAUUAUUUGACAACUAGGUAUUGUGGACAGUUUUCUUUGCCCUGGUGUCCAUACAGACUGGAUUCCAGGGUACUUGAGAGGAAAUGGAUGUUAGAUCGUUAAAUUAGUAAAUGUAAGAUAACUAAAAAAUAAAAAUAAUUUUAUGACUGUUUGAAUUAGAUUUGUACAGUUAAUUGGGCAUGUCUUAUUGUAAAUUACUGAAUUUGAUUGACUUGUCAAUGACUCAUUGGUGGAUUUGAGCCAGAGGAGCCACAGCCCCAUAUCCGACAUUUCCCUUCUCUAAGUGAACACAUAACUCCUAGAUAUUUCAGUCACAAACCCCUUCAAAAUGCAGGAAUUACAUCCGAGGAGACAAAGGUUUUCAAGUUCUCCAGGUUGGGGGGCAUAGCCAACUUACAUGUACCUCUAAGUUAUUUAACCAGCUGCUCUGGCCCCAUUUCUGAAUUUCCUGGGUCUCCUCUGGUAAAUUCCCCAGACAAACAAUGACAAAUAUGUUGACAUCUUCAUACAUAUAUGUACUUAGUAUCCUAAACAGGUCUUAUCCAUUACAGCCAACCUGUUAGUUUUCAUGUGGCACAAAAUAAUUAGCCAGCAGGCACUCAGCCAGAAGACAAUCACUGGAAAGAAGACAAUUUUCCUCAUACUACAAAAACUACAGUCUGUAAUAGUCAAGUAUCUGUACCAAGUUGUACUUUAGAGUCAGGUAACAGACCAUAUCUGACAUCAUUGACACUUAAACUCUACUUGCACCUAACAGGUUUUAGUUUUAGCUCUUUGCACACUUUGCAUUCCUAUGUAUCUGGGUAAUAGGAAAAGCUUAGAAGGAUUAAAGACAGUGAAUCAACUGUUCAUCCCUCAAA